AUGUGAGCAAAGGUCACAACUUUUAACAGCAAAGGCGAAACAAUCUCCAAGUUUCUUUUUUUCCAUGGCCUAUCAUGGAAAUGCUAAGAUAAAAAGACAAAAUUUAACCAGAGCUGGGAAAGCAAGAUAACUCUACAGCUGAAAGACUAGACUUCCCCUGCUCACUCAGGGGCCAGCUCAGUUCCACAGCCUGCUGGACAUGGAGAGGUCUCCAGGGAACCCGGACUUCAGCCCCAUGGAAGCUGUCCCUGCACAGAUGAGUGCAGGCAUCCAGGCAGAGGCCAAAGGAGACGCCACAUGCCCGCCGCAUGCCACUGAAUAACCAUGCAGAUCCCACUGUCACCAGCCUCAUCUUCACCAUGGACUUGAUGAAGCCAUGUUAACUUUGAAACACCGUGUCUCCCCUUGCUGUCCCUCCUCACACCCACCCACUUUCCUGUCACAGAAUAAAUAAAAGGUAUUCAGUGUCUGGGAACUCGCACACACAUCAGCUGGAGGAUCCUUGCCCCUGGCAGUCUGAAUCUGCAGCCUGUAACCCCCAAGUCACCACACAGCACUUCCCACCAGCACCCUUCUGGGACCUGGACACCUGUCGUUAGGUUAGUUUAUAUGGUUCUAAUUGUCCCAAUUCCUUAGCAUAGAUGUCACUACCAAUGCAAUAGAGUUUUUAUUCAUACUCUGGUACCUC
rnacentral:lncRNA from 1 species